CCUACGGGGGGCAGCAGUGGGGAAUAUUGGACAAUGGGGGGAACCCUGAUCCAGCCAUGCCGCGUGUGUGAAGAAGGCCCUCGGGUUGUAAAGCACUUUCAGUGAGGAAGAACGCCUGGUGGUUAAUACCCAUCAGGAAAGACAUCACUCACAGAAGAAGCACCGGCUAACUCCGUGCCAGCAGCCGCGGUAAUAUGGAGGGUGCGAGCGUUAAUCGGAAUUACUGGGCGUAAAGCGCGCGUAGGUGGCUUGAUAAGCCGGUUGUGAAAGCCCCGGGCUCAACCUGGGAACGGCAUCCGGAACUGUCAAGCUAGAGUGCAGGAGAGGAAGGUAGAAUUCCCGGUGUAGCGGUGAAAUGCGUAGAGAUCGGGAGGAAUACCAGUGGCGAAGGCGGCCUUCUGGACUGACACUGACACUGAGGUGCGAAAGCGUGGGUAGCAAACAGGAUUAGAUACCCCGGUAGUC
rnacentral:rRNA from 1 species